CAGUCACCGCGGGAAUACGAAGGGUGCAAGCGUUACUCGGAAUUACUGGGCGUAAGGCGUGCGUAGGUGGUGGUUUAAGUCCGUUGUGAAAGCCCUGGGCUCAACCUGGGAAUUGCAGUGGAUACUGGGUCACUAGAGUGUGGUAGAGGAUAGUGGAAUUUCCGGUGUAGCAGUGAAAUGCGUAGAGAUCGGAAGGAACAUCUGUGGCGAAGGCGACUAUCUGGGCCAACACUGACACUGAGGCACGAAAGCGUGGGGAGCAAACAGGAUUAGAUACCCCAGUAGUCCCUGUCUCUUAUAC
rnacentral:rRNA from 1 species